rnacentral:misc_RNA from 1 species
AACCAUUCUCACCUGCGGCUAGACCUGCGGAAGGAUCAUUACUGAGUGAGGGCCUUCGGGCUCGACCUCCAACCCUUUGUGAACACAACUUGUUGCUUCGGGGGCGACCCUGCCGUUUCGACGGCGAGCGCCCCCGGAGGCCUUCAAACACUGCAUCUUUGCGUCGGAGUUUAAGUAAAUUAAACAAAACUUUCAACAAUGGAUCU